CUGAUUGAGAUUUUAACACGAAGUGAGUGGCGAACGGGUGAGUAACACGUGGGUAACCUGCCCAGAAGUAGGGGAUAACACCUGGAAACAGAUGCUAAUACCGUAUAACAGAGAAAACCGCAUGGUUUUCUUUUAAAAGAUGGCUCUGCUAUCACUUCUGGAUGGACCCGCGGCGUAUUAGCUAGUUGGUGAGGUAAAGGCUCACCAAGGCAGUGAUACGUAGCCGACCUGAGAGGGUAAUCGGCCACAUUGGGACUGAGACACGGCCCAGACUCCUACGGGAGGCAGCAGUAGGGAAUCUUCCACAAUGGACGCAAGUCUGAUGGAGCAACGCCGCGUGAGUGAAGAAGGGUUUCGGCUCGUAAAGCUCUGUUGUUAAAGAAGAACGUGGGUAAGAGUAACUGUUUACCCAGUGACGGUAUUUAACCAGAAAGCCACGGCUAACUACGUGCCAGCAGCCGCGGUAAUACGUAGGUGGCAAGCGUUAUCCGGAUUUAUUGGGCGUAAAGCGAGCGCAGGCGGUCUUUUAAGUCUAAUGUGAAAGCCUUCGGCUCAACCGAAGAAGUGCAUUGGAAACUGGGAGACUUGAGUGCA
rnacentral:rRNA from 1 species